rnacentral:lncRNA from 1 species
CUUCAUCAUCGUCGGUGCGGUGGUCGGGGUGGUGGCACUUCUGGUCAUCAUCGCUGCUGUUCUCAUCGCAUACAAGAAGAGAGUCAAAGUGACGGAGGAUGUUCAAACACCAACCCAACAGCCUGAUGAGCCAGAGCUGACCUACAUCACUGUCAGCCACCGGCCGCCCGCUCCUCACAAGAAGGUCAAAGAGCAGGAUGUGACAUAUUCUACAAUCAAUAUUGGUGACGACGGGAGCAGACGAUGAUCCCUCUGCAGCUUUGUCAGCAAAGCGGAAGAAAUCAGAAGAAAUAAGACUUGACACGUGUGGUGUUCAUAGAUCCUGCCGUGUGUUCGU